AAGGAAUAUUGCUCAAUGGGAGAAAUCCUGAAGCAGCAACGCCGCGUGGAGGAUGAAGGGUCUAUGACUUGUAAACUCCUGUAAAGAAGGAAAAAAUUCCCAUUAGAUGGGAGAUGAUGGUACUUCUGGAGUAAGCCCCGGCUAACUACGUGCCAGCAGCCGCGCUAAUACGUAGGGGGCAAGCGUUGUCCGGAUUUACUGGGUGUAAAGGGUGCUCAGGCGGAUUUGUAAGUCAGAGGUGAAAUCUUACAGCUUAACUGUGAAACUGCCUUUGAUACUGCAAGCCUAGAGUAUGGAAGAGAGUGAUGGAAUAUCUGGUGUAGCAGUGAAAUGCGUAGAUAUCAGAUAGAACACCAAUGGCGAAGGCAGUCACUUGGUCCAUUACUGACGCUAAAGCACGAAAGCGUGGGUAGCAAAC
rnacentral:rRNA from 1 species